GUCCAUGGAAACAAAGCCGUUGCUGAAUAUAACAGGAGGUUACCAAACAGCUGUGACUUUUUUACCCCGUGAAGUAGGCGAAUAUCAUGUUUGUCUGCAAACAUUUAACAAAUUAAGAGUAAACAAGGACGAGGUCUGCUUUACUGUUACAGUCACCGAUGGCGUUGAUUUGGUCUUCGGUUUUAAGGACCGUGCACACUUUAUACAUCCUAGUCUUCAACCCAAAACUGACGUUAACUGCAAGGCAAAUGAUGUUUGUCACGUGACAUACACAAUUACACCCGGGGCUGGACAUGAAAC